rnacentral:misc_RNA from 1 species
AAAUUGUCAAAUAAGCGAACAUUGACUAAUUUGUAUAAAACAUAAGCCAUCGUUGCUACACAAAUAGGGACAAGUUGUAGUACAAUAUAUAGGCAAUAAAAAACAUAAGAUAAAUUUAUUUUAUAUUGCACUAAAUUUCCUGAUUAGACUCACAAUUGAACAAACCCAAAAACUAAACAAUAGAAGUGUCUUAAACUAAUAACUAAUGACAUCUGUAACACUGUCAAAUAUGAGAACACUGACUAAUUAGUAUAAAAUGAAGUGAGUAAAUAAACCUGGUUGCUGCACAAAGCAAAACCUCAAGACAAUAAGCAUUUAAUUGGGCAUUCACCAAGGAAUUAUACUCGGGAA